UACGGAGGGUGCGAGCGUUAAUCGGAAUUACUGGGCGUAAAGGGUGCGUAGGUGGUUUGAUAAGUUAGCUGUGAAAUACCUGGGCUUAACCUGGGAUUGUCAGCUAAGACUGUUGAGCUGGAGUAUGGGAGAGGGUAGUGGAAUUUCCGGUGUAGCGGUGAAAUGCGUAGAUAUCGGAAGGAACACCAGUGGCGAAGGCGGCUACCUGGCCUAAUACUGACACUGAGGCACGAAAGCGUGGGGAGCAAAC
rnacentral:rRNA from 1 species